rnacentral:misc_RNA from 1 species
AAAGUGCGACAAGUGUCACGACUUGCAGAUUCCCGGGAGCUGACAAAUCUCUGAAUGCAAAUUGCGGACCGACUUUCUGCCCUGUCGGCCAUGUGCUGCAGAGUGUUGUUGCCUUGUGCAAUACAUCUCUUCAUGUGUGGUUCACCACACGAAAGGAUUCGGAGUUGACUGCAUUGAACCUCAUCGUUCUGCGGUCAGCUCUCAGAAUUGCGCAAGCCCGCGAUCAAAAGACGGAGCCUGCCUUGAGAUCACUCACAGGCAGAGCGCACUCCAGAGUCUUUUCGCAGCGAGAGCGCAAGUGCUCAGCACGAAACCCCUACCUGCUGACCUCUGCAGCAUAAGAAAACCCGCUGAACUUAA